rnacentral:rRNA from 1 species
UACGGGGGGGGCAAGCGUUGUUCGGAAUUACUGGGCGUAAAGGGCUCGUAGGCGGCCAACUAAGUCGGAUGUGAAAUCCCCAGGCUUAACCUGGGAACUGCAUCCGAUACUGGAUGGCUUGAAUCCGGGAGAGGGAUGCAGAAUUCCAGGUGUAGCGGUGAAAUGCGUAGAUAUCUGGAGGAAAACCGGUGGCGAAGGCGGCAUCCUGGACCGGCAUUGACGCUGAGUGAGCGAAAGCCAGGGGAGCAAACGGG